AGUAGGUUUUUGUGGAGUAUAAAAAGUAAACCCUACAAGUAUUAAGCUAGGGGACUGUCUCUGUCGAUGGUGAGCAAGCUCAGCUUUUAAGAUCUGAGAAGCCUAAAGUCGUUACCAUGGUCACCCACCUAAAAACCUGGGUUUGCUGUUUAUUACUUCCACAAAAACUUUUUU
rnacentral:other from 1 species